rnacentral:rRNA from 1 species
UACGUAGGGGGCAAGCGUUGUCCGGAUUUAUUGGGCGUAAAGAGCGUGUAGGCGGCCAUUCAGGUCAGCUGUGAAAACUCGAGGCUCAACCUCGAGACGUCGGUUGAAACCGUUUGGCUAGAGUCCGGAAGAGGAGAGUGGAAUUCCCGGUGUAGCGGUGAAAUGCGCAGAUAUCGGGAAGAACACCCGUGGCGAAGGCGGCUCUCUGGGACGGUACUGACGCCGAGACGCGAAAGCGUGGGGAGCGAACAGG